AGUCAUAUGCUUGUCUCAAAGAUUAAGCCAUGCAUGUCUCAGUACAAGCCGAAUUAAGGUGAAACCGCGAAAGGCUCAUUAAAUCAGUUAUGGUUCCUUAGAUCGUACCCACACUUACUUGGAUAACUGUGGUAAUUCUAGAGCUAAUACAUGCAAACAGAGCUCCGACCGGAGACGGGAGGAGUGCUUUUAUUAGAACAAAACCAAUCGGCGGCGGGCGCGUCCGCGCGUCCGUUCGCCGCUCAACCUGGUGACUCUGAAUAACUUUCCGCUGAUCGCACGGUCUCGCACCGGCGACUUAUCUUUCAAAUGUCUGCCUUAUCAACUGUCGAUGGUAGGUUCUGCGCCUACCAUGGUCGUAACGGGUAACGGGGAAUCAGGGUUCGAUUCCGGAGAGGGAGCCUGAGAAACGGCUACCACAUCCAAGGAAGGCAGCAGGCGCGCAAAUUACCCACUCCCGGCACGGGGAGGUAGUGACGAAAAAUAACGAUACGGGACUCAUCCGAGGCCCCGUAAUCGGAAUGAGUACACUUUAAAUCCUUUAACGAGGAUCAA
rnacentral:rRNA from 2 species